GCCAAUCACAGCCCUAACAAAUAUCAAAUAAACUAUCUAAAAACUUAUUCAAACCAUUCUUACAUCUUAGUAUAGGUGAUAGAAAAGUAUAUUAGGCGCAAUAAUAAAAGUACCGCAAGGGAAAAAUGAAAGACUAAUUAAUAGCACAUAAAAGCAAAGAUUAACCCUUAUACCUUUUGCAUAAUGAUUUAGCUAGUCAAAACGGACAAAAAGAAUUAUGCCCGGUAUCCCGAAAUCAAGUGAGCUACUAUAAAACAGUUAAUUUGAACUUACUCGUCUAUGUUGCAAAAUAGUGAGAAGAUUUUAUAGUAGAAGUGAAAAACCUAUCGAACUUGAUGAUAGCUGGUUAUCCAAAACAUGAAUUUCAGUUCAGUAUUAAGUUUAUUUAAUUCAAUAAUCCAUUAAGCCUACCUUAAACUUAAAAAAUAAUCAAAUGAGGGACAACUCAUUCGAUUAAGUACACAAACUCCAUAUGAGGGUAAUGAUGAUCUCACUACCAUUGUAGGCUUAAAGGCAGCCAUCAAUUAAGAAAGCGUUAAAGCUCAAACACUCGUAUAUACUUAAUUCCAACAAUAAAACCAAAACCCCUUAUAUUAUAUUGGAUAAUUCUAUAUCCCAUAGAAGAUAUAAUGCUAAAAUCAGUAAUAAGAAUACUAUUCUCCUCGCAUAAGCCCACAUUAGUAAACGGAUUAUCCACUAAUUCCUAACAAAAAUGUAAUUAUUACUAUAAACUAGAUUAUUACUAACUUUAUUGUUAACCCAACACAGGCAUGCGUUAUCACAAGGAUAGAUAAAAAAGAAUAAAAGGAACUCGGCAAAUUUAAACCCCGCCUGUUUACCAAAAACAUCACCUCUAGCAUAAAAAGUAUUAGAGGCACUGCCUGCCCAGUGAGACAACUUAAACGGCCGCGGUAUCCUGACCGUGCAAAGGUAGCAUAAUCACUUGUCUUCUAAAUAGAGACUUGUAUGAAAGGCAAGACGAGGGUUUAACUGUCUCUUAUUCUUAAUCAAUGAAAUUGACCUGCCCGUGCAGAGGCGGACAUAUUAUUAUAAGACGAGAAGACCCUGUGGAGCUUAAGAUACAACUUAAUUAUAAGAUUUAAUCAUCCAACAGGAAAUAAUUAACAUAUAACAUUAAGUCAAAUCUUUGGUUGGGGUGACCUCGGAGUACAGAAUAACCUCCGAAUGAUAUAACUAAGAUUCACUGAUCUAAGUGCUAUAAGCCAGUAAUUGACCCAUAUAUUGAUCAACGGAACAAGUUACCCCAGGGAUAACAGCGCAAUCCUAUUCAAGAGCCCAUAUCGACAAUUAGGGUUUACGACCUCGAUGUUGGAUCAGGACACCCAAAUGGUGCAGCCGCUAUUAAAGGUUCGUUUGUUCAACGAUUAAAGUCCUACGUGAUCUGAGUUCAGACCGGAGAAAUCCAGGUCGGUUUCUAUCUAUAAGUGUAUUUCUCCCAGUACGAAAGGACAAGAGAAUUAAGGCCAACAUUACAAACAAGCCUUACAAAUAAUUAAUGAAACAAAUCUCAAUUAAUUAUAACCUAAUUUGACUACUCUAGAAAAGAGUAU
rnacentral:rRNA from 1 species